GACGAACGCUGGCGGCGUGCUUAACACAUGCAAGUCGAACGGAAAGGCCCUGCUUUUGUGGGGUGCUCGAGUGGCGAACGGGUGAGUAACACGUGAGUAACCUGCCCUUGACUUUGGGAUAACUUCAGGAAACUGGGGCUAAUACCGGAUAGGAGCUCCUGCUGCAUGGUGGGGGUUGGAAAGUUUCGGCGGUUGGGGAUGGACUCGCGGCUUAUCAGCUUGUUGGUGGGGUAGUGGCUUACCAAGGCUUUGACGGGUAGCCGGCCUGAGAGGGGGACCGGCCACAAUGGGACUGAGAUACGGCCCAGACUCCUACGGGAGGCAGCAGUGGGGAAUAUUGCACAAUGGGCGGAAGCCUGAUGCAGCAACGCCGCGUGCGGGAUGACGGCCUUCGGGUUGUAAACCGCUUUCGCCUGUGACGAAGCGUGAGUGACGGUAAUGGGUAAAGAAGCACCGGCUAACUACGUG
rnacentral:rRNA from 1 species